AUGUUCAGCACACCAUCAGCACCUCUCAAAUUCUUCCACCUCAAACAUUUGGACAUUUGUCUUGCUGCUGAUAGUGGCAUAUUUUCCCCAAACUCCGAUUAUUUUUCUUUAGUCUUUUUUUUGGAUGCCUGUCCUAUCUUGGAGAUUUUCAGGCCGAAAGUUAUCCAGACUCGCAUGAAACAUGUUUCAGUUCUUCAAGAUUCCUCGCAUCUGAGGCAGAUUCCAGGACUCCGGCAUGGCAACAUCAAGAAGGUGGAGAUCAUCGGCUUCUGCUCUGCGAAGAGCAUGGUCGAGCUGACCUGCCAUAUUCUUGAGAAUGCAACAUCACUCGAGUGCCUUACAUUGGACACCAUCUCAGGUGGUAUUGAUGCUUAUAGGCUGAAUAGACACAAGUUCGGUAAAUGCUUCAGCGAAGGCAGGCACAUGGUCGUGGAAGCCCACAAAGCGGUCUUGGCUAUCGAAAGACACGUUAUGGUGAAAGUCCCCUCCACUGUCAAGUUAAACGUUAUCAAGCCCUGCAGCCGUUGCCAUGUUGUUUAA
rnacentral:rRNA from 1 species